AUAACCGUGAAGUCUUUGCAUUUCAGUUUAAAAGCAAUGUCUGCUCGGAAAUUAAAACCGGAUGAAGCUUACCAUACAGAGAAUUGAGCACAUCCGAAGCAUUUCAAAUAGCUUAAUGACGUUCUGAACGUUAGAUGAAGCAAACCAGACACAAAUUACGUUAGUAACUUAUUUAUAGUCAAGAAGCGUACCCAAUAAAGAACGAGUAAAAUGAUCCGCUCGAAGAACUGAAUGUGCAAUGCGCACCCACACAGCAGUGCACUGCCUCACAGUUCAUUGUCCAUCACGUUCCCGUUUUUUACAUUUCCUUGAUAAAAACGACUAUUCGCAGAAUCACGGUAUCGAAGACUGGCGUAUGAAUCCAUCAUGAUUGAUAUUAAAAAUUCCCAACCCCUAAUCAACUGCUAUUGGAGGUGUAAAACGUCGGAGGUGGUUCGCAAAUUGUUCAACCGCUAUCAGGAAUCGCGAUGAAGCCGGAGCUGUCAAGGCGAAAAUCGCCUUGUUAUUUUGUAAAUAUUUGAGUGGAGACGUGUUUGCUGAAAACCUCAUUCAACGCACUACGCCGUCUCCCAAGCUGAGUUGUACGAUAAGAUAAGAUGAAUGCUGCCUUUUAUUGAAGCGUGCAAUCGUCGAACGAUAUCUGUUUUUGGCGAUUAACGAAAUUGAACCAUACAAAAAUAUUGAAGUGUGACAAAGAUCAUAAUGUGCAGACUUGAAGUAAAAAUUACUAUACCAAUAUAAAUGAUGCAAGCGUAGUAAUCCCUUAUCAGCGUGUUGGCGGCGCUUGCGAUCUAUUCGAUCGAAUGCAGGCGAUGCCGCUGAAGGACGACGAGGUUAGAGAAAACCUUGGUGAAGGCCUACAUUGCCGUUACGUGCAUAUUAGCACCAUAUAGAUGGGAAAACUAACAACACAUAGGACUGUUCUGCGAACAGCGAAAGUAAAGAGCGGCCAGCUGAAACGCAGUGUGAUGCGUCAUAAACGUGCAAUAAUUGGUCCUGUUAUCAAACGUUGACUGGUUUUGUUUAACUUUACUGAGCUGAAACACAGAUAGUGUGCAAAACUAAGUUUAUUUCCUCCAAGUAGAUUUUCAUAAGAUUGACAUAGAGAGA